AUUGAACGCUGGCGGCAGGCCUAACACAUGCAAGUCGAGCGAGCGGCGGACGGGUGAGGACUGUAUGGGGACUGCCCGAUGGAGGGGGAUAACUACUGGAAACGGUAGCUAAUACCGCAUACUAUCGGAUAACCCAUAUGGGAUUAGCUAGUGGGUGAGGUAAUGGCCCACCUAGGCGACGCUCCCUAGCUGGUCUGAGAGGAUGAUCAGUCACACUGGAACUGAGACACGGCCCAGACUCCUACGGAGGCAGCAGUGGGGAAUAUUGCACAAUGGGCGCAAGCCUGAUGCAGCCAUGCCGAGUGUAUGAAGAAGGCCCUAGGGUUGUAAAGUACUUUCAGUCGGGAGGCGUUACCGACAGAAGAAGCACCGGCUAACUCCGUGCCAGCAGCCGCGGUAAUAC
rnacentral:rRNA from 1 species